rnacentral:rRNA from 1 species
AUUGAACGCUGGCGGAAUGCUUUACACAUGCAAGUCGAACGGCAGCACGGGGGCAACCCUGGUGGCGAGUGGCGAACGGGUGAGUAAUGUAUCGGAACGUGCCCAGUCGUGGGGGAUAACGUAGUGAAAAUUACGCUAAUACCGCAUACGAUCUAUGGAUGAAAGCGGGGGAUCGCAAGACCUCGCGCGAUUGGAGCGGCCGAUAUCAGAUUAGGUAGUUGGUGGGGUAAAGGCUCACCAAGCCGACGAUCUGUAGCUGGUCUGAGAGGACGACCAGCCACACUGGAACUGAGACACGGUCCAGACUCCUACGGGAGGCAGCAGUGGGGAAUUUUGGGCAAUGGGCGAAAGCCUGAUCCAGCCAUUCCGCGUGCAGGAUGAAGGCCUUCGGGUUGUAAACUGCUUUUGUACGGAACGAAACGGCGAGCUCUAAUACAGUUUGCUAAUGACGGUACCGUAAGAAUAAGCACCGGCUAACUACGUGCCAGCAGCCGCCGUAA